AUUGAACGCUGGCGGCAUGCCUUACACAUGCAAGUCGAACGGCAGCACGGGAGCAAUCCUGGUGGCGAGUGGCGAACGGGUGAGUAAAGUAUCGGAACGUGCCCCGUCGUGGGGGAUAACGUAGCGAAAGUUACGCUAAUACCGCAUACGAUCUAUGGAUGAAAGCGGGGGAUCGCAAGACCUCGCGCGAUUGGAGCGGCCGAUAUCAGAUUAGGUAGUUGGUGGGGUAAAGGCCCACCAAGCCGACGAUCGGUAGCUGGUCUGAGAGGACGACCAGCCACACUGGGACUGGGACACGGCCCAGACUCCUACGGGAGGCAGCAGUGGGGAAUUUUGGACAAUGGGCGCAAGCCUGAUCCAGCCAUGCCGCGUGCAGGAUGAAGGCCUUCGGGUUGUAAACUGCUUUUGUACGGAACGAAAAGGUUUGACUUAAUACGUUGGACUCAUGACGGUACCGUAAGAAUAAGCACCGGCUAACUACGUGCCAGCAGCCGCGGUAA
rnacentral:rRNA from 1 species